rnacentral:rRNA from 1 species
GAUGAACGCUGGCGGCAUGCUUAACACAUGCCAGUCGGACGGGAAGUGGUGUUUCCCGUGGCGGACGGGUGAGUAACGCGUAAGAACCUGCCCUUGGGAGGGGAACAACAGCUGGAAACGGCUGCUAAUACCCCGUAGGCUGAGGAGCAAAAGGAGGAAUCCGCCCGAGGAGGGGCUUGCGUCUGAUUAGCUAGUUGGUGAGGCAAUAGCUUACCAAGGCGAUGAUCAGUAGCUGGUCCGAGAGGAUGAUCAGCCACACUGGGACUGAGACACGGCCCAGAGUCCGCGGGGAGGCGGCGGUGGGGAAUUUCGCGAAAGGGGGGAAGGCCGGAGGGAGCGAGGCAGGGUGGAGUGAGCAGCCCCAGGGGGAGUGAACUGCGUGUCCGGGAAAAGAAGCAAUGAUGUUAGCUGGAUAAUAGGCAUCGGCUACCUCUUUGCAAGCAGCGGCAAAGGAUCGAAGACAACACUUCUAAC